rnacentral:rRNA from 1 species
AACGAACGCUGGCGGCAGGCUUAACACAUGCAAGUCGAACGCCCCGCAAGGGGAGUGGCAGACGGGUGAGUAACGCGUGGGAAUCUACCUAGUUCUACGGAACAACAGUUGGAAACGACUGCUAAUACCGUAUACGCCCUACGGGGGAAAGAUUUAUCGGAAUUAGAUGAGCCCGCGUAAGAUUAGCUAGUUGGUGGGGUAAUGGCCUACCAAGGCGACGAUCUUUAGCUGGUCUGAGAGGAUGAUCAGCCACACUGGGACUGAGACACGGCCCAGACUCCUACGGGAGGCAGCAGUGGGGAAUAUUGGACAAUGGGCGCAAGCCUGAUCCAGCCAUGCCGCGUGAGUGAUGAAGGCCUUAGGGUUGUAAAGCUCUUUCACCGAUGAAGAUAAUGACGGUAGUCGGAGAAGAAGCCCCGGCUAACUUCGUGCCAGCCGCCGCAGUAAAAC